UUGAUUUUUCUCUCUCUCUUUUCCAUAAAAAAAACUCUAAAGUAAAAAUGUUGAGGUGCAUGUGCGGUUGUGUGACUUUCGAAUGCAACGAUGGAGUUUGAGACAAUUGCUGAUUCUGAGCACUGAUGUUUUGACUAAUUUGUAGUUGUUUUGAACGAUGUUGUUUUUCGAAAAAUGGCAGAUCUUAGUUUAAGGUUUGAUCUAGGUUGAUAUGUAAAUCUCAAUCUUUCUUUCAUGUUAUCAUUUCUCAAUGUGCAUUAACAUGCUUUCUUUCCCGAUGCCACCAUAGACAGGAUACAACCAAGGUUGUUAUCAUGGAGGAGGACAUGAUACUUCCAACUACUAAGACUUUGCAGUCGAGGUCAUGUUCAAUUUGUUUUUGUCGUUAUGUUCACUGUGUUUUCUUCAAAUGUUUAUGUUCUUGCUCUUCAACACUGUUUAAUUUUUGUCAAGGUAUGGUGGUAUAGUUUUACACCCAUUUUACUUUCUAUUUUACACCAUUUUAGCGUUUUGUGCCAACAGAUCUGGAAAACAAAGUUCUAUUAAGGUGUUUAGUACACUUUAAACAUGGUACAAGUUGAUAUUUUAUUCCUACUAUGAAAUUGUAUACUCUGACAUGUACUUAGUCUCCAAUUUAGUUCCACUUGUGUGAGUUUGAUUGCUUUGUUUGAUAUUUCAACUCAUGUUUGAACUAGAAAUACUAUUCAUGGAAGAAUCAGCAAAUAUGGAUCGUGACAAGGUGGUUCUGGUGCCCCAGCCCCACCUGGAAGAAACAUCAAGACCAAACUUUAUGAGAAUUUUGCUAAAGGGUCGCUUGCACUUUUGGAGAAAGUCUGGAGAGGAUCACCAAAUAUUUAUCUGGAACAUCUUGACAAACUAUUGAACAAAGAUCUAGAAUUUUGAAUCAAGUAUCAACCUUUUUUUCCAGCAAUACUCAAUUUGGACAAUUAUUAAGGAUGUUGAUGUUAUCAAAACCAUGAACAAGUAUCUUAACCCAAAUGAGUUGAGCUAAUUUGCUGAACAAACCUUCUCUGCACAACCAACCACAUCUGCUAACCAAGUUUGGAGUCCAUCAACCAGCUCCAGCAACAUCCCUGCUAAGAUGGUUGCUAUUUCAACUGUGUUUGAUGAUAUUUUGCAAGAUGGAGUCCUAACUCCAAUGCAAUAAAGUGAAACACCUUAAGACAAAGUGAUCAUGUGAAUAGAGUAUUGUAAGCCUCACUUUUUGCUGCGAUAUAAUAUUUUGUUGACACCAUAUAUGUAAGAAUUAAUUCCAACUUCUUAAGACCUAUGACAAAAUUAUGGUAUUUUUUUUGUA